ensembl:miRNA
GGUCUUGGCCCUGGUCUUGGCCUUGGUCUUGGUCUUGGUCCUGGUCCUGGUCCUGGUCUUGGUCCUGGCCUUGGCC